GAAGGAAGGAUCUCCAACGUCCCCAAACGAAAGCAGAGCAUCUUGUGUUAAGGUAGGAUCUUCCUGUCUUUCUCCACAAGCCUCAGUGUAAUGACUCAGUGAGCUUGUCACUGCCUAUAUACCCUGUGUUAUCCCUGAAAAUGCAACAGCAUCAGACUCUUCCAUCCUUAAUCGGUUUCGAGUACAUGGAUUUCCUAGUGUGUCUAUGCAAUUGAAUAGAAAACCCCUCCUGAGAGCCUCCUGACUCCUGUCCAAGCACAAAUAUCAGCCCACCGGUUUCAGCUUCAAAAGGGACACUAAAGGAAUAAUUAGUUAUCUCCCCAUGCCAAAACAUGCUUAAGGGGUAUUUUACGUUUCAAUGUAAUUUCUUUUUACAUUUUCAUGUAGUUUUCUAUGGCUUCAUCCCUUCCCUCCACCACUGCCACCAGCUCCGCCGCCUCCGAGGAGGGCCAUGCACUUCUCCCGAUGCCCAGCAGAUGGUGCUGUGGAUUUUGGAUCGGGAGCUCAGCGACCGAGGCUGGGGCCGGGGCCGAUAGGUCCCCGCGGAGCCCGAAGGAGACCCCGCGGACACCUGGAGGGUCUCCGCAGGAAUCUUCAGAGAAGACAACACAGCUGCAGUUAUGGCGAACGAAAGCGCUCUCUGAAGCUUGACUUAGUGCUGGAAAAGCCGGGAAGACCUUGAAUGGGGGGCUGCCCCUGCUGCACUCGGCGAUCGGCUCUGAUCUCCACCAGGCUCAGCGUGUCGGAGGCAGAAGAGACGUGGGGCUCAACCACUGGAAGAAGGACCGGGAAGUUGCAGAAGAUCCCAAGCCCUCCUCUUGCUUCGGGGCCGUCCUGCUGCAGCAGGCACACGCCGUACCUCUGCUCAGAGCAGGCAGGGAGAGGCUAACUUCGCCUGACUAAAACCUGUCUGCAUUCAGCUCUUGGGCGUCUGACGGGAAAAACUGGAAAGUGUCUUUUAUCAAGGAAACUUUUCUGCAAAUCCAACCCUGGGGAGAGGGAAAAGGGUAUUUUAGUUCUCUCACAGGUGGGGAGCGGAACAAAAUAACUCUCGAGCAGAUCUUGCAAGAGACGCC
rnacentral:lncRNA from 1 species